AGGGCCUCUCUCUGACUUGUCUCAGCAUAUAGACUUAUCAGGUAGGUAUGCUGCAAAUGCUUCAUACUCAUAAAAAGCACUAAUAUGCCCUAAAGUUUUAUGUGGACUAAAUUAAAAUAAAUAAAUCUCUUCUUCCUGAAACAGGAUCAUGGCCUAUAAAAUGCUUCAGGUGGCCCUGUGUUCAACAUUGCUUAUAGAUGUGUUGGGUGCACCAUUUUUGUUAGAGGAUCCAGCAAACCAAUUUCUACGACUCAAAAGACACGUGUAUUUGCAGGAUUACUGGGAUUGGGAUCACAGACCAAAAGUAUGGGGAAACACACUGGCUGAUCAGGCUCAUGAAACAUGGACUGCUUUGAAAACUACAGCACGGCAUUAUUUGGACUCCAAUAUUUUCACCUUUCACAUGUCUACUGACCAGUAAAUGUGUUUUGCUGGCUAAAUCAGGAGAACCACUAUGGUGGGAUUCAGCAUGACAAUAUGCCAAAAACAUAGACUUUUGAGACUGGAGAACAAAUCCUUGCCAUUUACUAGAUGUUAUUUCAUCUCUUGAACCUGUUUCUUGUUUGGAAAAUAGAAUAUUUUAUCUGCCUCACUGAGUUGUUGAAAGGAGUAAAUUUGACAACCCAUGUAAACACCUGGAAUUAAAAAUUUUCAACAAAUGGUAGCUCUUAAAAUGAAAAUUUAAAUAAAGGCUGUAGUAAUAAUAAUUACAAAAAGAGGGGGAUUUAUGGGAAAAGGAAAGAAAAAACAAAAAUGGUAUCAUUAAAGCACUCUGUUCAUCACUUUUGCUUUCUAUUGUUUGUAUGUUAAGAGAACUAGUUCA
ensembl:lincRNA